CACGAACCGUACGAACGUUAUUCGGAAUUACUGGGCUUAAAGGGUUUGUAGGCGGCCUUGUAAGUCAGGUGUGAAAGCCCUCGGCUCAACCGAGGAACAGCGCUUGAUACUGCAAGGCUUGAGGGAGACAGAGGUAAGCGGAACUGAUGGUGGAGCGGUGAAAUGCGUUGAUAUUAGGAAGAACACCGGUGGCGAAGGCGGCCCACUGGAUCGGUACUGACGCUGAGGUGCGAAAGCGUGGGGAGCAAACAGG
rnacentral:rRNA from 1 species